GCGCCGCUAGCUCAAUUGGCAGAGCAACUGACUCUUAAUCAGUAGGUUGAAGGUUCGAUUCCUUCGCGGCGCACCA
rnacentral:tRNA from 2 species